rnacentral:tRNA from 1 species
CGGGCAGUAGCUCAGUGGUAGAGCUUCCGCUUUAUAUGCGGGAAAAACUGCGUUCUGUUCCCGGCUGCUUCC